AGGACAAACGCCGGCGGGGGUGCAUGAGACAUGCAAGUCGAACGAGGUGCCAUCGGGCUUGCUCGAUGGUUACCGAGUGGCGGACGGCUGAGUAACGCGUAGGUGACCUACCCGGAAGUAGGGAAUAACUGCCCGAAAGGGUGGCUAAUACCGCAUGUGGUCGGCGAUUCAUUUCGCCGUCUAAAGGAGAAAUCCGCUUCCGGCGGGGCUGCGUCGA
rnacentral:rRNA from 1 species